rnacentral:misc_RNA from 1 species
GACGGAGGGCGCAAGCGUUGUUCGGAAUUACUGGGCGUAAAGCGCGCGCAGGCGGAUACUGCAAGUCGGGCGUGAAAGACCGGGGCUCAACCCCGGGCAUGCUUCCGAUACUGCAGGUCUAGGGACCGGUAGAGGCCGGUGGAAUUCCCGGUGUAGCGGUGGAAUGCGUAGAUAUCGGGAAGAACACCCGUGGCGAAGGCGGCCGGCUGGGCCGGGUCCGACGCUGAGGCGCGAAAGCGUGGGGAGCAAACAGG